ACACCUACGGGGGGCCGCAGUCGGGCCUCUUCCCCCCUUUUCUCCCGCCUGAUGGAGCAACGCCGCGUGGGUGAAGAAGGUCUUCGGAUCGUAAAACCCUGUUGUUAGAGAAGAAAGUGCGUGAGAGUAACUGUUCACGUUUCGACGGUAUCUAACCAGAAAGCCACGGCUAACUACGUGCCAGCAGCCGCGGUAAUACGUAGGUGGCAAGCGUUAUCCGGAUUUAUUGGGCGUAAAGGGAACGCAGGCGGUCUUUUAAGUCUGAUGGGAAAGCAUUCGGCUGAACCGGAGUAGUGCAUUGGAAA
rnacentral:rRNA from 1 species